rnacentral:rRNA from 1 species
UACGUUAAUAGCGUAUUCGUUUGACGUUAGCGACAGAAGAAAGCACCGGCUAACUCCGUGCCAGCAGCCGCGGUAAUACGGAGGUGCGAGCGUUAAUCGGAAUUACUGGGCGUAAAGACGCAUGCAGGUGGUUUGUUAAGUCAGAUGUGAAAGACCCGGGGCGUCAACCUACGGAAUAGCAUUUGUAAACUAGGCAGACUAGAGUACUGUAGAGGGGGGUAGGAAUUUCAGGUGUAGCGGUGAAAUGCGUAGAGAUCUGAAGGAAUACCGGUGGCGAAGGCGGCCCCCUCGGACAGAUACUGACACUCAGAUGCGAAAGCGUGGGGAGCAAACAGGAUUAGAUACCCUGGUAG